AGAGUUUGAUCCUGGCUCAGAAUCAACGCUGGCGGCGUGCCUCAGACAUGCAAGUCGAACGCGAAAGGCCCCUUCGGGGGCCGAGUAGAGUGGCGUCCGGGUGAGUAACACGUAGGUAAUCUACCUUUGGAUGGGGAAUAACAACCGGAAACGGUUGCUAAUACCGCAUAAUGCAGCGGCACCUAAUGGUGACAGUUGUUAAAGCGGGGGGUCGAAAGACCUCGCGUCUGAAGAGGAGCCUGCGGCGGAUUAGCUAGUUGGUAAGGUAACGGCUUACCAAGGCGAUGAUCCGUAGCCGGCCUGAGAGGGCGGUCGGCCACACUGACACUGACAUACGGGUCAGACUCCUACGGGAGGCAGCAGUCGGGAAUUUUGGGCAAUGGGCGAAAGCCUGACCCAGCAACGCCGCGUGAAGGAUGAAAUCCUUCGGGAUGUAAACUUCGCAAGAACGGGAAGAAUAAGUGAGGGUCAAUAUCUCUCACGAUGACGGUACCGUUUGUAAGCUCCGGCUAACUCCGUGCCAGCAGCCGCGGUAAUACGGGGGGAGCAAGCGUUGUUCGGAUUUACUGGGCGUAAAGGGCGCGUAGGCGGCCACCGCAAGUCGACUGUGAAAUCUCCGGGCUUAACCCGGAAAGGUCAGCCGAUACUGCGGGGCUAGAGUGCAGAAGGGGCAACUGGAAUUCUCGGUGUAGCGGUGAAAUGCGUAGAUAUCGAGAGGAACACCUGCGGCGAAGGCGGGUUGCUGGGCUGACACUGACGCUGAGGCGCGAAAGCUAGGGGAGCGAACGGGAUUAGAUACCCCUGUAGUCC
rnacentral:rRNA from 1 species